rfam:Triticum aestivum genome assembly, contig: Triticum_aestivum_CS42_TGACv1_scaffold_376106_5AL
AUUCUACUCCCUCCGUUGCACAAUACAUGCUUCUAUUUGUCAAAAUAUAUAUGUAUCUAGACAUGUCUUAGUAUAUAGGUACAUCCAUUUUUGGACAAAUGGAAGUCAAGUAUUUUGGAACGGAGGGAGUACACA